CGGCGGACGGGUGAGUAACGCGUGGGUAACCUGCCUCAUACAGGGGGAUAACAGUUGGAAACGGCUGCUAAUACCGCAUAAGCGCACAGUACCGCAUGGUACGGUGUGAAAAACUCCGGUGGUAUGAGAUGGACCCGCGUCUGAUUAGGUAGUUGGUGGGGUAACGGCCCACCAAGGCAACGAUCGGUAGCCGGACUGAGAGGUUGAACGGCCACAUUGGGACUGAGACACGGCCCAG
rnacentral:rRNA from 1 species